GACGAACGCUGGCGGCGUGCUUUACACAUGCAAGUCGAACGAUGAUGAGUGCUUGCACUUUGAUUAGUGGCGAACGGGUGAGUAACACGUGAGUAACCUGGCUCAGACUCUGGGAUAACUCCGGGAAACCGGGGCUAAUACUGGGUAUGACAUCUCCUCGCCUGUGGGGGUGGGGAAAGAUUUUGUGGUCUGGGAUGGGAUCGCGGCCUAUGAGCUUGUUGGUGGGGUGAUGGCAUACCAAGGCGAUGAGGGGUAGCGGGCCUGAGGGGGUGACCGGCCAUACUGGGACUGAGACACGGCCCAGACUCCUACGGGAGGCAGCAGUGGGGAAUAUUGCACAAUGGGCGCAAGCCUGAUGCAGCGACGCCGCGUGAGGGAUGACGGCCUUCGGGUUGUAAACCUCUUUCAGCAGGGAAGAAGCGUAAGUGACGGUACCUGCAGAAGAAGCGCCGGCUAACUACGUGCCAGCAGCCGCCGUAAUAC
rnacentral:rRNA from 1 species